UACGUAGGUGGCGAGCGUUGUCCGGAUUUACUGGGCGUAAAGGGAGCGUAGGCGGACUUUUAAGUGAGAUGUGAAAUACUCGGGCUCAACUUGAGUGCUGCAUUUCAAACUGGAAGUCUAGAGUGCAGGAGAGGAGAAUGGAAUUCCUAGUGUAGCGGUGAAAUGCGUAGAGAUUAGGAAGAACACCAGUGCCGAAGGCGAUUCUCUGGACUGUAACUGACGCUGAGGCUCGAAAGCGUGGGGAGCAAACAGG
rnacentral:rRNA from 1 species